UACCAGCUCUCCGAGUUGUAGGGAUGAUUAUUGGGCUUAAAGCGUCCGUAGCUGGCUUAGCAAGUCUCCGGUUAAAUUCAGCGACCUAAUCGUUGAGCCGCGGGAGAUACUACUAGGCUAGGAGGCGGGAGAGGUCGACGGUACUUUCGGGGUAGGGGUGAAAUCCUAUAAUCCCGGGAGGACCACCAGUGGCGAAGGCUGUCGACUAGAACGCGCUCGACGGUGAGGGACGAAAGCUGGGGGGAGCGAACCGGAUUAGAUACCCGGGUAGUCCCAGCUGUAAACUAUGCGGGCUAGGUGUUGGGGUGGCUACGGGCCACUUCAGUGCCGCAGGAAAGCCAUUAAGCCCGCCGCCUGGGGAGUACGGCCGCAAGGCUGAAACUUAAAGGAAUUGGCGGGGGAGCACCACAAGGCGUGAAGCUUGCGGUUC
rnacentral:rRNA from 1 species